GGAUACAUUCGAGACGAGCACUACCUCCCGACCCCUCCAAAUUGCAGACUCGUGCAAAAUAAAAAAUACCUUGUUAAUUGUUUGCGUAUUGCGAUAAAUGUAUUCUCUUUUACUUGACGGGGUGAGACAGGAAAAGCUGGAAGCGUGUGGUCUGCUUACUUCUACUCCUGCCAUUUCUAAAUGCUGCAUGAAGCACAUUACAGCCAAUUAAUGGCCACCUAACAGGACGUGUACCAAGUAGAAAACUCAAUGAGAUAAUUGUCAACCAGUCUAUCGUCCUCAGCUGCAAAUUGGAAUGGAAGAAGUCCAAAUGGAGGGGUCCAUACCAAAGCUGACCUUCUUGUGAGUCCUUCUGAGUGAAUGGGGCACAGUUUGAGGGUGGUUCACAUGCUGCAAAACACAGUCCACGAUUGAGGAAAAGCAGAGACCUUGCCACCAGAUCAAACCAGUGAAUGGGGAUUGGAAAGGAGGCCAGGAACCAUUGGAUUAUCUGUGGAUCUGGUUACAAUGCUAUAAGAUGUUAAUUACCCACUUACAAUCUCCCUGAGUGUACAACUAUUUCAGUCAUGGACUUGUAAGGGAGUGUGUGAAGUGUGUCAGUGUGGGGUUCCCUAGUGCCUAAAUAAAAUGCAUAAGGUGGCAGGAAGCAGAUAUGCUACCUUAUGUAGCACCAGGGUAUUAUAUGUGGGUAUAUGAAAUGCAAGACCUGACAUUUUAAAAGGAUCAUUGAGAAGUGUAGGCUACAAGCAACAGAUACGCUGAGCAUACAAUUGAAAGCAUUACUGGUCCUCAAAGAUUCAUUACAAUGUACUUCAUUCAAAUUUGUAGGAAAAGAUGGUACAGGAUGCCACAAACAGGUAGUCAGGACGAAGAAUACCUAACCUUACCAUUUUGACUUUGAAUGAAGAGGAAGUGGUUGAGUGGCAUGGUGGGUCGGUGGUUAGCAUUGCUGCCUCAAAAUGCUAGGGACCUGGUUUGUUUCCACCCUCUGGCUACUGUGUGGAGUUUACACAUUCUCCCAGUGUCUGCAUGGGUUUCAUUCAGGUGCUCCGGUUUCUACCCACAGUCCAAAGAAGUGCAUGCUAGGUGGAUUGGCCAUGCUAAGUUGCCCACAGUAUUCAAGGAUGUGUAGAUUAGAUGGGUUAUAGGGGAAAGUGUCUGGGUGGGAUGCUCUGAGGGUUAGUGUGGACUUGUUGGGCUGAAGGCCCUGUUUCCACACUGGAGGGAUUCUAUGAAAAUUCUGAGUUGACAUCAAACCAAUGAUAUAGGAGUGCUGACAUUCCAUGAGCCCAUAGUUCUCUACUGGAAAGGCUGUGCUGAUGGGGAGCUGAGGGAAAUUGGACUAGAAAUAAAGGUGGAACAUUUAUGGGCUUGACUUCACAAUCUUAGAAUGGGUGCAGGGACAUCAAGAAUAGAUGAGUACAGCCAACCUGGUCCCACUGAGUGAAUUAUAUAUUAGUUGUUAGAUUUUCACAUACACUCUCUGGCAUCCAAAGUCCCCUAUGGACCAACUCCACAGCAGCCUGGCAUGGCUCACUCUUCUCAUCAUCAGAAUCAUCCUCAGACUGCUGGUCAGAGGAUGUAGCUCACUCAAUUACAUCAUCCUCUGCCAGAUAGCACACCAUAAGCUUGAGGAAUAGACAAGCUGGACAAUAUCGCAUUUGCCUAACCUAAACAUCUAAAUUGUAUUCUGAGCAGGUGAAAUGAUGGUGCAGUGGUGGUGCCAUUGGGUGAGUCUUCCAAUGACCCAAUCACAAGUUAAAAUUUGAUUA